rnacentral:rRNA from 1 species
UGGUUAAAAAGCUCGUAGUUGGAUCUCAACAGCCUUGAAGCGGUUAACUUUGUAGUUUUACUGCUUUAUAGGCUGUGCUUUUGCUGGAGGUUUAGGGGUGCUCUUGAUCGAGUGUCUCUGGAUGCCAGCAGGUUUACUUUGAAAAAAUUAGAGUGCUCAAAGCAGGCUAAAAUGCCUGAAUAUUCGUGCAUGGAAUAAUAGAAUAGGAUGUCGAUCCUAUUUUGUUGGUUUUCGGGACUCGACAUAAUGAUAAAUAGGGACAGUCGGGGGCAUUCGUAUUCAAACGACAGAGGUGAAAUUCUUAGACCGUUUGAAGACAAACUACUGCGAAAGCAUUUGCCAAGAAUGUUUUCAUUAAUCAAGAACGAAAGUUAGAGGUUCGAAGGCGAUUAGAUACCGCCCUAGUUCUAACCAUAAACGAUGCCAGCUAGCGAUCUGCCUGCGUUUUUACUGUAGACUGGGCAGGAAGCUUCCGGGAAACCAAAGCAUUUGGGUUCCAGGGGAAGUAUGGUUGCAAAGCUGAAACUUAAAGGAAUUGACGGAAGGGCACCACCAGGAGUGGAGCCUGUGGCUUAAUUUGACUCAACACGGGAAAUCUCACCAGGCCCGGACACUGGAAGGAUUGACAGAUUGAUAGCUCUUUCU